UUCAGGCUCCAUGCUGUACGUUUUCUUAUUUUAAAGAGUACACUAUUUUUUUUAAAGAAGAUGCUUCAAUUAAUCUGAAAAUGCCUAUUACUUUUUAUCUUAUGAUAUUGUACAGGGUUCACAUGUUUGAAUUGCUCUUGAAGUCCUUGUUAUAUCUGUAAUCAUAUCCAUAAUUAAGAUUUUAUUCUUUUAAUGAUUGUAUGGCUGAAGCUGAUAUUUCUAGAGGUUAAAAAACACAAACCAAACAAAACAUCUCAAUGCUGGCCCUUCUACUGUAGGAGACCUCUUGAUCAAAACUCAUCUCUGAUUAUCUGUUGGACAAAGAUUUAGAGUUGACAGGUGUAAGGGCAGAACUGGCUGGAGACUCACAGAAUAAGGAAGUGGCACUCAAUUCUGCCUUUUAAAGAGUAUCCUAAUUGGCAGAUCACUUCUCAAAUUGUGCAUCCAGGCAGAGAAGUAAAAGCUGGAUCAGUUAAGAAAAAGUCAAUGGUGGUGCAGAUAGUGAUGACAGCUCAUACAGAAAUGCUGCUAGAUUUCUAACCAUUGCCUCGAAAUACUGAUUUCAAACUGCAGUGCUAUAAUGACAACAUAAAUGAAGUUUUGUUGGCUUCAAGGAGUUGUUCCCAAAUUACAUUGGUGUCAUGCUUGAAUGAGAUCAUCUCAGUUGAACCACUGCACAAAAUAUCACUUUUACCCACAAAACAUCACUGGCUUCCUCUCAAAGGUACAAAAGGUUCCUUCAGCCAUGCUUCUUUUCCAGGUGGAAGAUGAAACAAAGGUACAGAUAGAGAGUGAACUACCUAAGUGUCAUGAGGCUAAAUAUUUGUUCACUUGCUUAAGAUGCAGUAAGUCCUGGAGUACUCUCUGUUUACCCAAGAGGAUUUCAGCAUAGAGGCUUUCUCCAGAAAGAGGAAGCAUAUUGAAGAAUAUUCACCCCAGCUCAGGAUUUAUCAUGGUGAGGACCGCACAGUGUAACAGAUGAAGCUACUGCAAGAGGUUAAAGUCACUAGACAAAAACUAUGUGCAUUUGGUGGACAGUUGUUCUGCAAAGCUGACUGACGCAGGAAAGGAAAACCCAGCAGCAGCAGAAACCAACUCUUUGGAGAUGGAAGAUGGAUAGAACACUAGCAGUUAGGGUUAAUUUUAUAUUUUUGCCAUUAUUUUGUUCAUUAAAGGUUUGAAAGUCAGUUGAGCAAUUGUACCGGUGAGACUGUGAUUUGCUAUAAGAUUUAAAGUAUACCUUUGGAUAAUUUCACAUUGUUUUCAGUCUUUAUUUGAGUGAAUUUGCCACACUGAAAUUGAAUCAAACCAUUGAUUUAUCAGAAGUGUUUUAUUCUUCAUUCUAGAUCUGUGCAGAUCUAAUUUAAAAACCAGGAAAGCAGUAGAAAGUUGCAUUUGUAAAUAUUUUAGAGAAAACUGCUGUUCUGUGGAACUUUAUGCUGUUUUUCUCUGACCCUACUGAGUGCUUCACAGAAGCUCAUUUGGGAAAUGUAUUCUUUGGUUUUGGUAAUCAAUUGAUCAACAUUUGAAGCUUUGCUCAGACACACAGCUAUUGUGAAGAGCAGUUCUUUCAAAUAUCCAUUUGAUUGUGUUUGUGAUGCUUGCUUUAUUCAACUCUGCUCCAGGAAAAUUAAAAUGUACUGCUAUAUAAUAAGUAUGGGAAGGUUAGUAUUCACAAUUUAGGGAUAAAACAUUUUGACAGUUCUAUUCUACAUGUGCAUUUAAAAAUCGUAAUGCUUUCGAUUAGACCCUAUGUUUAUCGUAGGAUCUCUUGUAGGCAUUACUCCUGUGAGAUUGUUACCUUUCAGGAUUUGUUGUGGACUGUGUGUCUGUGGGGAAGCACAAAAGCCUGCUGGUUCCACAGGCAUGUUAUUUUCUGGUCCAUGGUAUGUCUCACUUUCUUUAAUUUCUGAUGGGGCUCCACCUGCACUGCUGCUGCUGAGUCAUUUGUGGUUGUUUCUGAGAUAUUUUUUGGGGUUCAGUUAGGCAGGUACAUGUGCAUUGUUCUGCCUUACAUGCUUGCCACGUUUUUCCACUGGUCCCCAAACUCUCAGUUUUUGGGGCAUUGUAGAAUCCCCACAGGGACAGUGGCAUUGUCUGGGGAGGGACAAGAGAUCCUGCCACCACAACCAUUAUCCUUCUUGCUGGUGAACAGGUGAUGCUCAAGCCCAGCAUGUGCACAGACAAUGGGCAGCAUUCUGAGCUCAGGAAAAUGAUCACUGACACCGGCUGAUGUCUGAAGCACUGGUCACUAAAAUUCUCGGUAUUAAUUGCUCCCCUUUUAUUUUAUCUGUCAUCUUUCUGCAUUAGGAAUGUUCAGGGGGGGAUUCAAGUAACCUGAUAUAACAUCUGCAGCAUUGCUAUCACCAAGAAAGCAUUCAUUCAGAUAAUAAGGCUGUCUCAAGGUACAUGGUCUCUUGAGACAGUGUGUAAAUUAGACCAAGUGAUAAAAUAAAACCCCAAAACUAACAAACACACUGGCUAGAUAGUUCAGACUUUUCAGAAGAGCAGAAAUCAGGAAAAAAACAUUGUAGGAUUUACAGGAAAAUGCAUAUGAGCUGAAGUAAGGCCUUCUCACUGAUCCUUUAGCCAAUCUCCAGAGACUUUGUGUAAUUAUUAUUAGAUUUCCCGUGGGAAGGAUAUGGACUUAGGUGAUACAAGAAAUCUUGCGCAGUGAAUUCUUCAGGAACCCCUUUCUGCAUUAGGCCCCAUUACUCUGUCUCUGAAGCCCCAAAAACUCAUAUACCCUCAAACUGCUGUGGGCUGUCAUUUUCCAUACCUUCCUUCACAUUUGGGAGCUGUCUCUCCUGACUCAGCAAUAAAUAGCAGAGAAGGACUCUGGGAAUUCAGAGAGAUGAUGUGCACAAAGUCAUUUUCUGAUUGUGAAGGGGACCACUGGUAAAUCCUCUCUGUGCACCCAGAUUGGUUCUUGCACUGAAAAACAUCAAAAUCUGAAUUAUACAGAGGCUAUGCAGCACUAUGGGUAAGUACUUUGGCCUUUCAUCUCUUAUUAUGUUGUUAAUUAGUUAAUGUUUGUAAAGCACUUUGAGGAUGAAAAGCCCUAUAUAAGUUCUAAGUGUUAUUAUCUCUAGAGACCUAGGUUCAAUUCAAAGGUGCUUAAUUACAUAUGCCAUAAAUUAGACUUAAUGAGUUGUAGAAUCAUACAUUUUAUGCAAUGCAUGCAGGUUUCUCAGCCAGAGCUGGGUCUUAUGGUCUGCUGCAGUAAUUCUUUAGGUGUUCAGAGUUGUUAAGAAAAUUACAAAAAUAGAGCACAUAAUUUCUAAUAAUAAUUGGAUUGCAUUUCAGUACCAUUCAGGAGCCGGUGGAGCAAAUUGCUGGGAGCUUUUCUCAGUUGUAUCUAGGGAUUUUCCAGUAACCAACUUCAAAUUGCUGAAGGUAACAGUUUUGGGGUUAUUUUAAUUGUGGUAUAGACAUAAUUCUAGUUCAUACUUCUGUAUUUUGGCUUAGCAGAAGGGUGGUGAGAGGUAUUGGUGACUGUUUUCCUUCCGGUAAUACCCUGAAAUGUCCCAUUAGCGGACCACUUCAUGUUGGGAUACUUUCACAAGCAUAAGAAAAGAAUUUCCCAUCUCUAGAGAUAUCACCGUGUAAUUUACAGCAAGCCAUUACCAGCGGGUAGCCCGCAAAAAGAGGAAGCCACAGUUAUAGGAAAAUGUAGUUUCAUUGGCUUUGCAGGGCUGAGAGUUUCCAUGUUUUGUAACUUACAUAUUUUGUGCCCAGAAGGCUGCAGACUGCUCCAGCCCCAGCACCAGGGCAGAUAUCCACGGUGAGCAGGUGGCUUGUCCUGGCUGUUGCCCAGCCAGCAGAGUUCAGAGACACACAAAACCAGCAGGAUUGCCUACCUGACCUAAAGUGGCUCCCAUGAGUUCCUGCAGCAAAAUAUAUCCAUUUUACCUUGGGUCUUCCUCAGGCAUAUAGAAGGAGGCAGGAUUUAUCCUGUGUAUAAAUAUGCUAGGAGUGAUUGUGUUCAUUAGUACCACCCAAGUAGAUUGGAAAAACUAAUUAUUAGCAAUUUACUAUGAGUGUCGCUAACAGACUUACUUGAAAGUAUUUAUCCCGAAGUGAAAGUCAUUUGAUUCGGUUAAUGUUUAUUGUAAGCAUGUGCAGACUGUCUUCCAGGGGAAAAUGUAUUUUUGAGUACUCCAGACAAGUGAAACUGGUGAGCCCGCAGUCCGGAGAAAGCAUCUGUAACCGCAGCCAAAAGGGGAACGAGAUUUCUGACAUUCUUUCAAGACAUGUGUUUGAAGCAUGGGUUCCCAUCACUUUCAGAGCCACUUGCAGGCCUUUAUAUAGAUUUAGGCAAGUCAGUGUGGGCUUACAUUCAGCAUGAUAAAUGCCUCUGUGAUGUCUCCCUCUUCCAUUCUCUACUUUUAUUUUAAUGCUUAUUUUGAACAGAAGUAUGUUCUUUAAAUGGGACAAAGCACAAUGCCUGACAGUGUUUAUCACUCACUUUUCCAUAUUCCUAAGAAAUGGAUCUAGUCUUACACCAUAAUUACUGGGGUGCAUCUCUUUCAAAAACAAGACAUUUUGGUGAAUACUUUUUCAUAUACUCUAAUAAAUAGGAACUUCACAUAUAUGCUAAUUUGAGGUCGAGGCUGUGGUUAAACAUUUUAAUAGUGCAGCAAACUUAUCAACAAACCUUUUCUUCCCUACCCUUUCUCCUUCCCUUUUUACAAUGAACAGAUUUUUAUCCAACUGUCUUGUAAUUUGGGGACUUUUACAAGCAGGUUUAGGAACUUGUCAGAUAUUUGGAAAUUUAAGUCUGAAAACAAAACAGAAAAAUCCCACAACUUAAAAGCCCAAUAUUUUACACAGUAUAUAUUAACUGGUUAAAAUUUUGACUUGCUGAAGUACCUACAGAACUCUAUUUUCUGACCUAACUAUCAGCACUUAACUAGAAGUUAUCAGUCUGAUGCCUUUUUUUUAAUACUCCAGGACACCAUUUAUACUGCCAUAACUCACUGAGGUACCAAAUCAGUGGAACUGCAAGACACUCUUUGUUUCUGAAUUCCUGCUGCCUUUUGUCAAAAGGUGAUAAGAAUACUCAUAUUGGUUUUAUUUAAUCUUGGCAUUUCCAGCCUGUCUCCUUUCCUUCUCUGUUUCCAAGAUGUCAGUGCUGACAUACUCUAGCAGUGAUAUCACUGUUGCUGAAACACGAGUGAAGAACCUCUCUGAGCAAGCAGGAAAGUUGUGAGCUUGAGCAGCUGCACUGAAGUGCCUGUUCCAGAGACAUCAGGCAGCAGGGAUGACUGUACAACAGAGAACACCUUGAUACAGCCCGGCCUCCAAGUCUGACCAAGAGACCAAUGGCUGGGGAGGGUGCUCCUCCAGAAAACAGUUCAUGGGCUACAAGAAGCACUAAAUGUGCAUGGAGAAACAACUUGGCAAACAGGGAAGCAAGCUAACACUAUCUCCUGGUUUCACAAGAAAAAAGUCGGAAGUACCAUAACCACUAAAAGACAUCUUGAAUAAAGAAACACUUUGGUGGACCCAGUCUUCAGGGGUGCAUUCAGGUUCCCUGACACAGGUAUAGACAGACAUACCCCGGUCGUGUGGCACCCAUGAAUAGAUCCAGUGAGCCUGUGCAGCUGUGUUUUGAUCAGCGGAGAGCUUUCCUGGCAUCAGAGAACUGAAAUCACCUUGUGGGUAUGACAAGCACAUCUAAGUAUCUAGCAAGUGAAAAUCAAGGGUUUCUGUAAGGAAGAAGUAAGGACACGUACCACAAAAAAUUAAAAGUAAAAUAACCUUUAAUAAUCUCCAUUCUAAGUAUUGCUCUAAAUUGGCAUUUAGCCAUCCAUCAUUUGCUGGCUCAUAAAGCUGGUUUGUGCUCUUCCCUCGCCUCCCCUCCCUGUUUCUAGGAGCUGCUGGCCUCUUUUCAUCACUCCUUUCCCAUAGGCACACACAACUGGGACCCAAACACUCUUUUGUCUCUUCCUCUGGAACUCUGCUUUGUAACACAUGGGGAAAAGGGGAGCUGUGAGCAGCUUUCUUUUUUCUUCAUUGUGUAAUGCCACUUAUAAACUCUGUCAAUAGACACUUGGGAGGUGUCUAAAAUGUUAGACAAGGAAACAGGUAUAAUUCAGAGGAAACCUGACCUUGAUUGAAUAGGGUCAAAAUGCCUCAGCCACCUCUUUCAUUUGAAACUCCUCAUUUACAGACUCAGACUUCUUUCAUUGUAGCUUAGAGUUGACAAAUAUAUGUGAGGUCUGUAUUAGACUGAAAGAUAAGAAGUGUUAAGGAAGCUCCCCAGUGUGACCAUUCAGGAGACUCCCUGGCAGUCACACUGCCAAGGGCACAGACUGUCACUGCCCUUGGCACCGACGCCCCUUCCCAGCAGCAGCCGCAGUGACCCGAUGGGUUCCUCUCCCUGCACACCCCACUCGCAGUCACACCAGGUUUCCUCACCGGCUCGUCCCCAGGUCUCCCAUAGCAGAGUCUUGGACGUCUCAUUCCGUGAAACCACUUCUUCCCGGCGCAGUGACACAGGAGCAGCCUGAGCUGGUGCCUCUGAGGAGGACCCCAACCAAGGAACCCCGGGACUUUUAUGCCUUUUAUCCCCUCACCUUCUCUCCGCAUGCAAAUCUCACUCUUCGGCUCCCGCCCCCCUCUCCAUGUCGUCACCCGUCUCCUUUGUUAACCAAAAGAUCGGCGAUUCCCGGCUCCUGCUGUGUGUCUCAGUGUCCAGUCGCUGCCUGGCAUCCCCCAUCUUCGUGCCUUUGUUUUCCCAAGUGUUGGCACUUCACAGCCUCUUGUCUCGGGCUCCCACCCAGAGCUCAAUCUGCAUCUCAAUCUCCAGUUUGCAAACCGGGCUACCUGGACCAGCAGCAUUCCUCGGCAGCAGUCCAUCUGGAUUUAGGGAAUUCUGGGCCUAACCAAAAUCUUUGUGGAGAACACACAAUUUCUCUCACCUCAAAGAGUUGUAACACCAAAUUGUGAACAGUACAAAAAUUUGUUUUCAGGAAUCCUGUUGGGGUAUCCCCAGGUAUUAACACCUAGCAGAUGAAUUCAACUCAUCUACCUCCUAAUUCCCAGGUCUAAUUGUAUAUGUUAAUUAAGCUCCUGACGAAGAAAAAAAAAAGACUGAGCUCUAAAUUAUGUGUCUAAGAGUUCGAAUUUUCCUCUUGACAUUUAGAAAUCUAAGGUUGUAAGUCACCAAAGGCUUUUGAACAAAAUGCUUGUGGUCAUUUCCAGACUUGGACAAGACAGAUAUUUCUUGAGCUUCCUGGUGCAUUCUGUUAUCUCAGGUCCUUUUUGCUGAGUAUUCUAAGAAUGAUUUACCAAAAUAGUUGAUGAAGUUUUAUAUAGAAUGUAUUCCAAGCACCUAUAUUAAGCACCUCUUUCAACCAGAUUUUGUUUGUUAUUAUGGAAACUCCUUCUAGAGAAAGUUGUUUGACCCAGGAAAGCAUUAGCCAACCAACAAAGUUUGGAGCUUUCAAGUAAUUCUCAGUAUUUUUGUUUUGAUAUUUUUUGAACAACAUCUUUCUCUCUGACCAAAACCACAGAUGGCACAGGCCUGACUUUCUCAUCACUAAGGAUAAUUUAUAUCACACCAGCAGUGAAAAGAGACCUGCAAAAAAUGUAGAUGUAAUUAGAAGCCCUUUAAUAUCCUUUCACACUGCUGGAGUAGCAGACAGGAAUCUUUAGCCUAUGUCCUUAUCCCUCCUGUUUCUUUGCUGGGAAGUGCUUCAACUAGGACUGGUGUGGAUUGGGAACUGGCAAUUCCUCCUCUUCUGUUCCUGACCUGCUGAAGAACAGCCACACCAACACACUCAGCACAAGGGCGUUUCUUCACAUUUAUCUUAGGUUAGCACUUUCCUUUAUUUAACUGUCUCUGAUCUGACUAUAUCUGAUCAUUCCUUCAUCUCAUUUUCACUUAACCUUUUGGCCUCUACACAGACUAAGCAUCCUAUCAGAUAUCUCCCAAGGGACCUUCUUUCCCCCCACUCCCCCUUUCUCCACUCUUUCUCCGAUUUAGGUGCUUUAUGCCACUCCUGCUAAUUUACCUGAUUACAUGGAAGGAGCUGUAGAUCUUUUUAUAAUUGCUGUUUUACUUAAAACAUUGAUUCUUUAGUUCCUGUCUGUUUUCAGGUCAUCACACCUUACUGGAGGUUUCCCUGGCUUAAUGAGCAAUUCUGAAACCAUAGAAAGUACCAGACAUGGGGGUCAGUGUGAAUUCUGAUAUUUGAAAGCCACUCCAUAGCAUCCACAAGAGGAUCCUUGGCACUUGCCUAGUUAAACUGAAUGUCCAAUGUUUUCUCUCCAGGCAAGUAAGAUUGUGGCAAUCACUGUAGUCCUAUUUCACUUGUUCUCAGUCUUUUUGACACCAACACAUUAAUUCUCCCAAGCUCCUUUGGCAGCUGUAAGAAGUUCUCUCUUUUUUUUUCUAAUAUGAUUGAUAAUAUUGAAUAUUUCUUUUAACCUUUUACUGCCAUUCCUGGGCUAGGUGAUAGUUUUUGUGUUCGGAUGUUAAUCUCCAGCAUGCAGCAGCACAUCUUCCAAUCACCUACUCAUUAUGGAGCUCAUUUGUAAAAUGCUGCUGCUUAAUUUAUGACUGCCUGUGAAGCCCCACCUAUCAUUGGCCCUCCAACACUCCCACUGUCAAAGGCUCCAUAAAGAAAAUCAUUGCUUUAUACAGAAAAUCCUUCUAGUUUAACACAAAGAAUGGCAGUCCUUGGACAAAAUUCCUCUGUAUGGUUUCAUAUGACGCACUGGAAAGAAACACAUCCUGGAGAGGGUGUAAAUAAUGCAGGUUCUCUGGCUCAGUGCAGGAAAUGGCCCAACUGAAAUGUAGUGGCAAAAAAUGUCAUAAUUUUCUUCACUUCUAAUUUCUCAGGGGGAAAAAAAAAAAGGUUGUCUGAGGAGACACAAAUAUGUAAAAACAAAAAGACCUCCCAGGAUGACUUGAAAUAUGUUCAAAUUAGACAUCUAUUCCCUGCUCCCUAGAACCCAGUAAAUAUUUCUUUGGCCCUACAAAGUAUUUUAGUCUGAACCCAGGAAACCUCAGCUUGACCUUGAAAAUAAGAUUCCUCAGUUUUCAAAGUAAAUGUCCCAGCCACAUUACUGGAGGAGUUGCACUUUUCUGAUUGAACAUAUAAAACUUGUCUCUUUUGGCAAAUGGGAUAGAUUAUACUGCAGGGAACUGGUUGUUUUCCCAAUUAGCUGACCACAGGCACUUUCACACUAGCUUUCUCAACUUCUACACCUCAAUACAAUGCUGCUGGCAAGGUUAAAAUAUCUGUUUGGGGCCGUUAGGGGCAGGGUUCAGCCAGUGAAAAGCAGUAGAGCCUGUCUCAAUGGACAUACACUGACCUACCUUGCCGAGUUAGCAUCCAGAGCAUAUCUCUACAGAGGUUUUGUUUUGUCUCCUUUUCACGUUGUAGUGGAUGGCUGUAGCAUCCUUCCAGCAUACCUUGAAUCCCAUUUGAGAUUUUAGAUUGAAUAUGUCUGGAUUUGAUCUGUUUUAUCAGUUUAUUUUCUUCUGAUGUUUUUCUCCUCUUCCAGCUGCAUUAACUCUUCUUUCACCCAAGACUCACUCCAUGGUACGUGUAAUGAAAAUACUCUUUUGAAACACUUUGACAUCAUCUUCUGACAUCUGACUCAUAUUCAGGUAUAAAUUUCCCAGGUCUGGUUAUCAAUUCUCUGUAGAAAAGUAUAAGCAUGUGUUCCACAUGGAGUGUAAAAGGACAAGAACGGUCUCAAAUUCCUCUUCUGAUGACUGGUCGAUGUCUAUCAACUGAUGUUGAAAAUCUCUGUGGCCACAGCCUUCGUUUAAUAUUGUAUCUCAGACAUAACUGCUUUUUGUCCAACAGUCUUGUUUAAAACAGACCAAAAUAAUAAAGAUGGACAAUUUGAUUGGCAUCUACCUUAUUAAUUGAAUUAAACCUGGCUUUAAUUUUAACAAAAAACCAAAUGCAGUAUUGGGCGUUAAAUAAAAUAAGGUGAUGCUUUUUCAAAAUGAGCCUUUCCAUUUUUGCUUCAGCUUGAGUUUCUCACUUGAGGCCAACCACACAUGUUGAAAUGCUAUCAGCUAGUGUUUCACAGAGACUUCUGGUUCAGGGCACCAGUGCAGACACCCAGCUGCCCAAGCUGUGGCCCUUGCACCCUCCCCAUGCCUGCUGACUCCUGUGCGUGCUCAGGGUUUCAUUAGGUUGCAAGCUGUAGCCACGUGGUGCAGA